rnacentral:rRNA from 1 species
GUCCACGCCCUAAACGAUGCGAACUGGACGUUGGGAGCAAUUAGGCUCUCAGUGUCGAAGCUAACGCGUUAAGUUCGCCGCCUGGGGAGUACGGUAGCAAGACUGAAACUCAAAGGAAUUGACGGGGGCCCGCACAAGCGGUGGAGUAUGUGGUUUAAUUCGAUGCAACGCGCAGAACCUUACCUGGCCUUGACAUCCACGGAAUCCUUGAGAGAUCAGGGAGUGCCUUCGGGAACAGUGAGACAGGUGCUGCAUGGCUGUCGU